rnacentral:piRNA from 1 species
CUUUCUGCCUGCACCCGCGUGCU